rnacentral:rRNA from 1 species
GAGAACUCUGGUUAAGGAACUCGGCAAAAUGACCCCGUAACUUCGGGAGAAGGGGUGCUCUUGAGCGUGCAAGCGCAUGAGAGCCGCAGUGAAUAGGCCCAGGCGACUGUUUAGCAAAAACACAGGUCUCUGCAAAACCGUAAGGUGACGUAUAGGGGCUGACGCCUGCCCGGUGCUGGAAGGUUAAGAGGAGUGGUUAGCGCAAGCGAAGCUGCGAAU